UGUGGUGGGGGCUAAACUGAGAACAUUUCUGGAACACUGUACCUAUCACUUAAUUGGCACAUACUCAUCCGUCAUUAUUUGGGUCCGCAAGGGGGCGUGGAGGCACCUUGUCCCGCCACCCUGCUGCCAGCUCCCCCAGCGCGCACAUUUUAGGCAGCAGGGUCCAUUGGCCCCCGGCUGCUGCAAGAAUUGGGACUUGAUGUGUGUCACUGCGUCCAGGACAGGCAGUUACCCCCAGAUUCAGGACCCCCUCCCGCCCACUUUAUCAUUUCCAUCCUAUCCUGGUCCUUCUUGGAUUCAUGUUUGAGAAUUCUCCUUAUGGUAUGACCGGUUCCGCAGCUGCGUCUUGUGGUCAUUAAUCAGUUUGCCAGGGGGAAAAACCCCUUGGCUUUACAGUGGUUGAGCCAAAACUUGCAUGCCGGCCCCUGUCCCAUCGCAACGGUGCGCUUGCCUCUUACUUCUAGUUCUUGGCCUGAAUCUCCAGGCUCGUUUUGGUUUCUAAAAUGCUGUGUUUCAGGACCCGAAGGAGAGAGACUCUUGCAACGAUCCCUAAAGGACUCAGCAGAAGUGUUACAAAGCUGAAGGAAAGGUUGGAUUUUACUUUUCGAAGCCAACACCUGUUUCAACAGCAGAAUGAAGGGCUCUGCUGUCCUGCCAUGUCCAGGCAGGAGUCCUCUCAGUGUCUCAUCACUAGUUCUAUGAAUAAUUUCCAAAGUCCAUCUAGAUGCCAGACACUGGGUUAGGUGCUGGGGACAAGAGGAGGACCUUCAUUUUCCAGACUUCCCUCUGUCAUCAUCACUUGUAUCUCUCAGAGUUUCAAGCCUGCUUUUGGCCUAUUGUGGAUCAGAAACUUUAUUUUCACUUUUAUGGUUUAAGAUUUCCAAAUCGUGAAAUAAAUCAAGUGCAAAA